rnacentral:rRNA from 4 species
AAAACGACUCUCGGCAACGGAUAUCUCGGCUCUCGCAUCGAUGAAGAACGCAGCGAAAUGCGAUACUUGGUGUGAAUUGCAGAAUCCCGCGAACCAUCGAGUCUUUGAACGCAAGUUGCGCCCGAAGCCUUUAGGCCGAGGGCACGUCUGCCUGGGCGUCACGC